rnacentral:rRNA from 1 species
GACGAACGCUGGCGGCGUGCUUAACACAUGCAAGUCGAACGGAAAAUUUUAUUUCGGUGAAAUUCUUAGUGGCGAACGGGUGAGUAACGCGUAGACAACCUACCUCUCAGAUGGGGACAACAUCGCGAAAGCGGUGCUAAUACCGAAUGAUGUAACUUUUCUGCAUGGAAGAGUUACCAAAGGCGGCCUCUAUUUAUAAGCUGUCACUGAGAGAUGGGUCUGCGUCUGAUUAGCUAGUUGGCGGGGAAAUGGCCCACCAAGGCGACGAUCAGUAGCCGGUCUGAGAGGAUGAACGGCCACAUUGGGACUGAGACACGGCCCAAACUCCUACGGGAGGCAGCAGUGGGGAAUCUUCCGCAAUGGACGAAAGUCUGACGGAGCAACGCCGCGUGAGUGAAGGAGGUUUUCGGAUCGUAAAGCUCUGUUGUUUGAGACGAACGUGCAAUUUUUGAAUAAGGAAUUGUAAUGACGGUAUUAAACGAGAAAGCCACGGCUAACUACGUGCCAGCCGCCGCCGUAAUAC